UGAUUAGGAUUAGAGAAUUCCAACUGUGUC
rnacentral:piRNA from 1 species